CCAAGCAGAGAAUCCGAAUUUGAUUAGGAGGGAAAACAACACUUUAUCUUUCAAUAACUACAAGUAUUGUAUAUUGAAUUGAUUGAUGUAGCGCAUGUGGAUAACCGAUGUUAGGCAUUUGUUCUAGAUGAAUUUUCAACUAUAAGUAUUGUUUAUUAAUUGAUGUGGCAUGUGGAUGACCGAUGCUAACAUUUGCCCUAGAUCAAUAUCUAGAUAGUUGACUUAAAAGGAAUGUAUACUGAUUUCUAUAUAAUAUUCUUGGCUUCCAUGCGUGCUCCAACUUAUUACCAAGUUUGGUUUUCAUGUUAAAAAUCCAGUAUAAGCUACUUUAAAAGUCGAUGAACUAAUUGACACCCAUAUAAAAACUCAACUCUUUUUACACCCAUGGUACUAUGGUAGUACGGUACAUCCCAUGCUAGAGUUUCGAAGAAAAAUACUUAGAUUAAUUCUGUAGCAUAUUCUUCCAUUUUCUAACAACCGAAUAUCUUAUAAUCGAUUAAUUUCUUUAAGAAAACAUGGAUUUUCAAUAAAAAUCAUCGCUUAUUCUCAACAACAACAAAAAAGAAAAAAAAAAUCAUGGACUUUUAAAUUUUAAAAAAAUCAGCAUUUAAUAGAGUCAAUUUUAAAAAAUUCGAACCCUAAAUAAGAAAGUUUAUCCUCAAAGAAUGCUCCAUCACACACUUGUACUUCAGAGUUGGAAGGCAAAAUUAAGUUGAUGUACAUACAUAUUAAUUCCAGGUUUAUAAUAAUGAAUAUUUUAAUAUAAUUUAGGAAAUAAUAUCUGUUUUUGAUACUACGUUACUCAAGUAACAACUAGUUCUUCACUGUGUCUGCGUUAAUCGCUGCGCUGUAAAAAUCAUAUCUGCAAGUGCUUGAUUUUUGGUUGAUAUUAUCUGCAUAAAUACAACUCACAACCAAUUCAAAGUCCUUGUAAUAUCUAACGUAAUAUUCCUUGUAAUAAAUCGC
rnacentral:lncRNA from 1 species